rnacentral:snoRNA from 1 species
AACCCAUGAUGUGGACAUUUUCUAAGUAAAUUUUUAAAGUGUUCCCAUGCCUCAUAAAGUGACUUCAUGUCAACCUGCAAAAACACAGUAAUUUCAUUACGUAACUU